UGAGCUUGAUCCUGGCUCAGGAUGAACGCUAGCGGCAGGCCUAAUACAUGCAAGUCGAACGAGAUUAUCCAGCUUGCUGGAUAUGAAAGUGGCGCACGGGUGCGUAACGCGUAUGCAACCUACCUUAAUCAGGGGGAUAGCCCGAAGAAAUUCGGAUUAACACCGCAUAAAAACACAGAAUAGCAUUAUUCAAUGUUCAAAUAUUUAUAGGAUUAAGAUGGGCAUGCGUGUCAUUAGCUAGUUGGCGGGGUAACGGCCCACCAAGGCGACGAUGACUAGGGGAUCUGAGAGGAUGACCCCCCACACUGGUACUGAGACACGGACCAGACUCCUACGGGAGGCAGCAGUAAGGAAUAUUGGUCAAUGGAGGCAACUCUGAACCAGCCAUGCCGCGUGCAGGAAGACGGCCCUAUGGGUUGUAAAUCUGCUUUUAUGCUGGGAAUAAACCUUUUACGUGUAAGAAUGCUGAAGUACCAGAAG
rnacentral:rRNA from 1 species